AGCAUAUUAUUUAAAUUGUUUGUGAGGAAAUUAUUAAUUAAAAUAAUUUUAGUGAAUGUGUUUUAGUAUAGUUUAUGGAAUUUAUAAGGUGAAUAAUAGAGGAGUAGUACUGUGAAGGAAAUAUGAAAUAGAUGAAAUAGUUAUUGGAAUGAAAGAAGAAUAGAGUUUGUACCUUGGGUAUCAGGGUUUAUUAAUUAAUAGUAAGGAUUUAUAGUUCUCGAAUUAAAAAGAGCUAAAAUAGUAUAGUAGUUAAGGUGUUAUUAUUAUUAGUAAUAUUAUUUUUAGGGAUGAAAUGUUAAACGUUUUUUAAGUUAUCUAGUUUUUCAAGAAAUGAAUUUAAUUUAUGUUAUUAAGAGUAAAUAUUUAAUUGAUUUAAUAGUUUAUUUAUUAAUAACAAAUAUAUAAAGGGAUAAGCUUUUAUAUAAUAAUUAUAAACUGGAAUAUUGUAAAGAGUAGUAGGCUUUAAAUUAGUCAUCAAUAGAAUAAUGUUAUAAAUUGUUUUAUGAAUAAGUUAUUUUUUUAUAGUUUUAGUUUGUGUAUUGAAAUGUUGUGUUAAAUAAAUUAAUACAAGUAAUUAUGAUAAAAUGAGUAUAUAAAAUUGUUUAGUAUAGUAUUUUUAGGAAUUUAUAGUAAGGAAUUAGGCAAAUUAUUACUCGCCUGUUUAUCAAAAACAUCUCUUUUUGUGUUUAUAUAAAGUAGGGCCUGCCCACUGAAAUUAUUUGAAGGGCCGCGGUAUUAUGACCGUGCAAAGGUAGCAUAAUCAUUAGUCUUUUAAUUGAAGGCUGGAAUGAAUGGUUUGACSAGGUAAUGACUGUCUCAUUAUAAUAUGUGGAAGUUAACUUUUGGGUUAAAAGGCUUAAAUGUUGGUGGAGGACGAGAAGACCCUAUAGAGCUUUAUAUAUAAGUUUAGAUUUGCAUUUAGUGGUUUAUAAAAAUUUAGGUUUAGUAUAUUGUGUUGGGGUGACAUAAAGAUAUAAUUAACUCUUUAUUUUAGGAACAUUGAUGUAUGGAUUUUUGAUCCAUUUUUAGUGAUCAUAAGAUUAAGUUACCUUAGGGAUAACAGCGUAAUUUUUCUUGAGAGUUCAUAUCAACAGAAAAGAUUGCGACCUCGAUGUUGGAUUAAGGAAUAUGAUUAAAUGCAGCAGUUUAGUUAAUAGGUCUGUUCGACCUUUAAAUCCUUACAUGAUCUGAGUUCAGACCGGUGUGAGCCAGGUCGGUUUCUAUCCUCAGUAUUUUUAUAUGCUUUAGUACGAAAGGACCAAGUAUUCUAAAUAUUUUAUUGUAUUUGAUUAUUACUA
rnacentral:rRNA from 1 species